AAAGAAGUUUCUUUUCUCUUUUUAUUGUUUUCCCCCUGCACCCAUGACGCAUGGAAGUUCUGGGACCACCAGGCCAGGAAUCGAAUCUGAGCUGCAUCUGAGACCUGUGCCACAGCUGCGGCUACACCAGAGCCUUAACUCACUACUCCGGGCUGGGGAAUCAAAUCGGCAAUGCCACAGAGACAAGCCAGACCAUUAAACCACUGGCCACAAUGGGAACUCCAAAACAAAGUUCUUUCUCAUGUAAAGUUCUGGUCUGCGGUGGCCCUGCUGUAAGAGGUGGUCCAUGGACUGUGGAACUUUCUAUUUUGAGGCUUCUUUGUCCUCCCGCUUGGUUUCCAAGGUCACUGUGCUGCUUUGCUCUAAGGGAAAUGAGCAAGGGGGGUUGUACAAGCUGAAUUUUAGGGCCCAGACCCUCAUUCUUGCUCAUGUUCUGUUGGUCAGGGCUCAGUCACACGACCACCUCUAACUGCAAGGGAGGCUGGGACGUGGAUGUUAGCCCAGGGCCCUGCAAGAAGAGAAAGCAGGUUCCCCCUACUCCAGACUUGUUGCUUAUUGAAAAAACAAACAUCUCAAUUUUCCUUUCAAAAGCAAUAUACUCUCUGUGUAGAAAAAUCACAACCCAAAUUUAAUGCCAUCUGAGACUAGCUUAGCUCUUGGGUGAACUUUCAUGAUUCUUACCUGGCCAGGUGACAGUUCUUUUUUCACCUUCAGAGGAUCACAAGUGAGGAAGAAAUUGUCCCCCUUGUAUCUGUUUGCAGGAUUUCGUCUUUUCUUUGUCAAUACAAGGAGGCUAGGAAAAAUAACAGAUGAGAUACAUGAAGUCAUUGAUGAUAACGUGGCAAGAGCUUGGGUUCCAGGGGAUCGAACCCACAACCCCAUGGUUCCUAGUUGGAUUUGUUUCUGCUGCUCCACAACAGGAACUCCUUACUAGCCAAAUAUUAUGCAGUAUUUUUCUCCACUCAUGAAUUUUUUGGAUCUGUGUACAUGUGCUAGUUCAUUCAUUUGAAGUGCUGUCUUGUCUUCCAUCAGCUGACUCUCACCCUUGCCAUUUAUUUUUCCACUCCCCAGUAACACAUAUAAUACAAGUGCAUUGUCUUCAGUUCCCCGCUCUGGGUAAUUAAUAGUCUCCUUACCUAAGUGUUCAGACAAGGAACCUUAGAGCCCGCUGUUAAAUGACCCAGCUAAGGUGUCACAGUUUUCACAGGCAGUGGAACCAGAGAAUGAGCCAAAACGGACCAUAUCUUCCCUCCCAGGCAAUCGUCUUUCUCACUGCUCCACAGUUAUCUCCUUUCAGGAAAAGGAGAUGAUAAAUUUGCAGGAAGUGUUAGAGAGUUUUAUCUUUAAAAAGCUCCAGGGAGAAAACGAUCUUGUUUUGAGAGCAGUGUGAAGGUUUGAUGCCAGAUGGGGUCUCCCCAUGUGUUUCGAGGGCAGAGAACAGACCCGUGUGUGGCGGGAGGGUCACCCCCGACUUGGGGUCUUGUCUGUUGCCUUCCUGGGUGGCUUCCUGGGCAGAGACAGUGAGUGUGACAACCACCUUGAAGCUGGCCUUCUUUUCACAAGGGCAGCCAGACACUCAGGGGACUUUAUCUCCCAGCAUAGAGAGUUCCUGGGGGAACGGGACCACUUCUGUCCUUGGGGGGGAGGGGUGUCCGCGGGGGGUGGUCCCCGCAUCCUUUUUUUCCCAUUUCCACUGAAUAUAGUGUCACUGGAGAGCAGGAUUUGAAACCAGUUAACCUCAAAAGAGGCCAGUCAUAUCUGUCCCCAUUUCUCUUUGAAAAAUGAUGAAUGCUAAACAGUCCUCGAGGUUUACAGAUCUACCAAAAGACGGUCAAGGUUCUGAAACAAUGAGGACAUUCUUUUCCACGCUGAGGAUGGCACCAGGGCCUUGACGCCACCUGGCUCGGUCACUGGCUUCGGAGAGGGCCUGGGGCUGUUUUCGCAACUUCCCAGAGUUUCAGUUUCCUUGUCUUUCAAAGCAGAUGCUGUUGACAGUCACUUGUACCAUCAGACCAAGACUGACCAAUUGUGAGCCUCAGGGCACCCCCCCUCGCAGGAGCCCUUCCAGGACCUCCUAUCUCAUUUUUAUUCGUAAUUUGAUAGGCGUUUUUAUAAAGUGCAUCCCCCAAGUUGUGUAAGCUGUGGCCCC
rnacentral:lncRNA from 1 species